rnacentral:rRNA from 1 species
GCGCAACUCCGUCUCCUCUUCAACUGCGUACCACUAAGCUGCCGCCACAGAAUAGACGAAGGUAACUAAAGCACUACGAGGAGGAAAACGACACCACAAGAGGCUCGGAACACGGAGGGAAGAAGGGUGAUGCUCCAACGUUCAGAGAACGAGAACUGAGAUGGUUCUUUCGUAGUUUACUAAGCAGUCAACUAUUUAGACGACACGCUAGAAGUAUACUAGAUAACUAAAACUCAAAUGUUGUUCUCACGAGACACCUAAGACUAGACGAGAAAGCGAAACCAUCGUUGGACAACGACGAGUUCAACAUGAAGGGAUAACCAGAGCUACCAGCGACCAAAAGCAAACAGCACACAUAGCUUCUAUCUCGAAAACACAAAGAACUGAGUCGUAAACCUCUCUUGAGUUGCAUAGUAUCUCUAUAGAUACUACUCGACCACUAAAAAGAACACUGUAGUAGAACCAGGAAAGGAGUAGGGAAACAAAGAAAUCGAAUC